rnacentral:rRNA from 1 species
UCUUGGUCAUUUAGAGGAAGUAAAAGUCGUAACAAGGUUUCCGUAGGUGAACCUGCGGAAGGAUCAUUACUGAAAUAGAAGACCCACUCUGUGGGGCUUCACAAUUUCAUAUUCAAACACAAUGUGCACUGUACAGAUGAACACAUACUCAGCUCUCUGGGUAUUGCUACUAGUCUUGUUUUCAUACCACACACAAGUCAUUGUAUGUGUCAUACAUAUAUGCAAUAGAACUUUCAACAACGGAUCUCUUGGCUCCCGCAUCGAUGAAGAACGCAGCGAAAUGCGAUAAGUAAUGUGAAUUGCAGAACUCAGUGAAUCAUCGAAUCUUUGAACGCACCUUGCACUCCAUGGUAUUCCGUGGAGUAUGUCUGUCUGAGUGUCAUGAAACUCUCAACCCUUUGCCUUUGCUUCUGUCUUUGGCAAUGCGGCUUGGAUCAUGAGUGCCUGCUGGACCUUUGCAUCAGCUCACUCUAAAUAUAUCAGCGGUCUGCUUGCCUUUUGCAGCUGCACUUGGAUCUGGCGUAAUAGGUUUUAUUCGCUGGAGCUCGGUGUGGAUUGCCGGUGUUGCGCUCAGCUGCCAAUCAUGUGCAAUCAGUACAAUCAGUGUUAGACCUCAGAUCAGGCAGGACUACCCGCUGAACAUAAGCAUAUCAAUA